UUCUAUACAUGAGCUAUUUCCCAUCUUGUGCUUGACCAGAGUAGAUAGCAAGAAUCACAGAAAGGAUCUCUUACAAGAUUUCUCUAAUGUACACUGGUGGAUCGCGUUUAUCUUAGCUCUCCAAAUGUAAUUGCAGUCAUUGACCACGAAAAGAAGCGGACGUUUGUUAUAAGAAAAGAGGGGCUUCCCGAUGUUGGAAUUUCAAUGGGAGCUGUUGCUGGAAUCUCUGUUGCAGCGGUUGCCAUUAUGCUGUUUCUAGGUUUGUCUAUACAUUGGUGCAUCUAGAAGAAAUAAACUGAAGAAGGCAUCAUUGCUUCGACCACCUUUCGAAGAUAAGUCUAUUCACCAUGGAUAAGGUAAAUCUCUUGGUUAGGCAUUAAUCUCUACAUUUUCCUUUUAGGAAUGCUCCUUCAAGGUUCCACCGAGGCCAUGGUAAUCUGAAAGUGAUUCAUGUUAGGAAAGAUUGAAUAGGUAGUUUGUCGCUCCCAAGUUAUUCAAUAACGGUAAUGGCCAGCAUAAUAGGUGGUUGUUGAACCAUUUUAUGGGCUGUAAUGGUCGAUUUUUUAUAGCUAUUUCAUUACCUUAUUUCAUCA